rnacentral:rRNA from 1 species
CUUUGAUUCUGGCUCAGGAUGAACGCUAGCGACAGGCUUAACACAUGCAAGUCGAGGGGCAGCAGGGGAGUAGCAAUACUCCUGCUGGCGACCGGCGCACGGGUGAGUAACACGUAUGCAACCUGCCCUUGUCAGGGGGAUAAGCGGGAGAAAUUCCGUCUAAUACCGCAUAAUACCGAGGAGAGGCAUCUCUCAUUGGUCAAAGAUUUAUCGGACAAGGAUGGGCAUGCGGCGCAUUAGUUAGUUGGCGGUGUAACGGACCACCAAGACGACGAUGCGUAGGGGUUCUGAGAGGAAGGUCCCCCACAUUGGUACUGAGACACGGACCAAACUCCUACGGGAGGCAGCAGUGAGGAAUAUUGGUCAAUGGGCGCGAGCCUGAACCAGCCAAGUCGCGUGAGGGAAGACGGUCCUAAGGAUUGUAAACCUCUUUUGCCAGGGAGCAAGGAGCGCCACGUGUGGCGCGGCGAGAGUACCUGAAGAAAAAGCAUCGGCUAACUCCGUGCCAGCAGCCGCGGUAAUACGGAGGAUGCGAGCGUUAUCCGGAUUUAUUGGGUUUAAAGGGUGCGCAGGCCGACUGGCAAGUCAGCGGUAAAAUUGAGGGGCUCAACCCCUUCGAGCCGUUGAAACUGUCAGUCUUGAGUGAGCGAGAAGUAUGCGGAAUGCGUGGUGUAGCGGUGAAAUGCAUAGAUAUCACGCAGAACUCCGAUUGCGAAGGCAGCAUACCGGCGCUCAACUGACGCUCAUGCACGAAAGCGUGGGUAUCGAACAGGAUUAGAUACCCUGGUAGUCCACGCAGUAAACGAUGAAUACUAACUGUUCGGGCCGAUUGAGGCCUGAGUGGUAAAGCGAAAGCGUUAAGUAUUCCACCUGGGGAGUACGCCGGCAACGGUGCAACUCAAAGGAAUUGACGGA